UACGUAGGGGGCAAGCGUUGUCCGGAAUCAUUGGGCGUAAAGCGCACGUAGGCGGCCCUGUAAGUCCGUUGUGAAAGUCAAAGGCUCAACCUUUGAAUGCCGAUGGAUACUGCAGGGCUAGAGUCCGGAAGAGGCGAGUGGAAUUCCUGGUGUAGCGGUGGAAUGCGCAGAUAUCAGGAAGAACACCGGUGGCGAAGGCGGCUUGCUGGGCCAUCACUGACGCUGAGACACGAAAGCGUGGGGAGCAAACGGG
rnacentral:rRNA from 1 species